AUUCUUGGUCACUCAUUCAUUAUGUUAAAGCUGUCUACAUUCCUCUAUCUGGCUAAUCCACUAUCAGCUGUUUCCAUUGUUAUGACAUCACUGGAAUAUGAACAACUGUAGAUGAAAGAAAACCUCAGAUUAUUUUUGAGGACCACUGACCUUGAAGCACAGUGAGGACAGCUGAACAGGAAACCUCGCCUGCCUCGUUCACAGCCUUCACCGUGUACACACCGGCAUCCUCAGGGAAAACCUCAGGCAGGUGAAGGAUAACCUCACCCUGCUCACCAGCCAUGAUCUUGUAUAUGUCGUCAUCUUUGAUUGGCUCAUUUUCAUGGAACCACAUGACCUCUGGGGUAGGUUCACCUUUGACCUUGACCGUAAAUUUGGCCUCACCACCUUCCUCAGAUGUGAGAUCCUCAAUGGUGACCACAAAUUGUGGGGAAGUAACAGUCUGGAUACAGAAAUAUGGAACAUUAACCUCUCUGAAGUCCACCUGUUCAGUUGUCACAAUCUCUUCUGUGGUUUCCUCCUCAGUAACAUCUUGUGAGAAUUUCCUGUUGACACAGAAUUUGACAAAUCAACACCACUGAGUAUCAUGGUUCUGACUGGUUUGGAAAAGCAUGCUUCAAACUGAUCAUGCAAGGAACAACUUCCAUGCACAGAAAAUAGCAGUAAUGCACUAAACAUUUUCUCCUUCAGAUUUGUUGUACGAUGUAAUAAUAUUUCACAUUUUUAUUCUUAAAAUGCUGUAUACCACCUGCAUUAUCUUUUAAUACAUUUACAAAUUUGUUUUUAAAAUAAUGUUCAUUGUCACAAUUAUUUUGAUUUUAUUACAAUGUACUGUCAAGUGAAUAUGUGAGCAUAAAUUUCUGGAUUAAAACAGUGGAGCAUUUUCCCAUGACUUAC
rnacentral:sRNA from 1 species